rnacentral:tRNA from 1 species
GCCCCGGUGGUGUAGCCCGGUCAAGCAUGUUAGCCUCUCGAGCUAGCGACGUGGGUUCAAAUCCCACCCGGGGCA